AAUUCACCAAGUGUUGGAUUGUUCACCCACUAAUAGAGAACAUGAGCUGCGUUUAGACCAUCGUGAGACAGGUUAAUUUUAUCCUACUGAUGAUGUGUUGUUGCAAUAGUAAUCCUGCUCAGUACGAGAGGAACCGCAGGUUCAGACAUUUGGUGCAUGUGCUUGGCUGAGGAGCCAAUGGGGCGAAGCUACCAUCUGUGAGCUUAUGACUGAACGCCUCUAAGUCAGAUUCCCACCUAGAUGUGACGAUGCCAUGGCACCCGGGUUAUACGAUUGGUCUCGGUUAGCCGGUCCUCCGGGGGCCCGGCAAGGAAAGACGUUUGACACCGGCCUGGGGCGCGGCUGAAUGAUGGCCGCCCCUCUCCUGUGACACAUCGCAUGUUUGU
rnacentral:rRNA from 1 species